CCAAAGGCUCUUUUCAGAGCCACCACCUCCACGCAUUAAGGCAUCGU
rfam:Poecilia formosa, whole genome shotgun sequence.